UAAAUCUCAUUAUUACAUUGUCAAAGUCUGAGGUUUGCUACUGUUUCCCUGAUUCGGUAUCUCCAUGGUAGGCAGAAUGAAAAUCUGGAAGGUCAGAACUCAUGGAGAACCUGAGCCAUCUCUUUUUCUCAGCAUAAAGGAGACAAGGCUGCAUAACAAGCCCAAUCAUCACAGCCAAGAGACUAAUAACCAUGACUUUGAAAGAAGCAAGAGCUAAUACCACACAAAUCAAUAAGGUUGGGGGUAUACACAUCAAAAUUGCUC
rnacentral:lncRNA from 1 species